rnacentral:tRNA from 1 species
CGGGAUGUAGCUCAGCUUGGUAGAGCACCUGAUUUGGGACCAGGAAUCGUAUGUUCAAAUCGUGUCAUCCCGA